UUCGAUCCUGGCUCAGAUUGAACGCUGGCGGGAUGCUUUACACAUGCAAGUCGAACGGCGACACGGACCUCGGUCUGGUGGCGAGUGGCGAACGGGUGAGUAAUGUAUCGGAACGUGCCUAGUAGCGGGGGAUAACUGCGAAAGCGUAGCUAAUGCCGCAUACGCCCUUCGGGGGAAAGCGGGGGACCUUCGGGCCUCGCACUAUUAGAGCGGCCGAUAUCGGAUUAGCUAGUUGGUGGGGUAACGGCUCGCAGGCGACGAUCCGUAGCUGGUUUGAGAAGGACGACCAGCCACACUGGGACGAGACGGCCCAGACUCCUACGGGGAGGCAGCAGUGAAAUUUUGGACAAUGGAAACCUGAUCCAGCCAUCCCGCGUGUGCGAUGAAGGCCUUCGGGUUGUAAAAGCACUUUUGGCAGGAAAGAAACGGCGCGGGAUAAUACCCCGUGCAACUGACGGUACCUGCAGAAUAAGCACCGGCUAACU
rnacentral:misc_RNA from 1 species